rnacentral:rRNA from 1 species
AGAACGAACGCUGGCGGCAUGCCUAAUACAUGCAAGUCGAACGAACACUUCGGUGUUAGUGGCGCACGGGUGCGUAACGCGUGGGAAUCUGCCCUUGGGUUCGGAAUAACAGUUGGAAACGACUGCUAAUACCGGAUGAUAUCGAAAGAUCAAAGAUUUAUCGCCCAGGGAUGAGCCCGCGUAGGAUUAGCUAGUUGGUGAGGUAAAGGCUCACCAAGGCGACGAUCCUUAGCUGGUCUGAGAGGAUGAUCAGCCACACUGGGACUGAGACACGGCCCAGACUCCUACGGGAGGCAGCAGUAGGGAAUAUUGGACAAUGGGCGAAAGCCUGAUCCAGCAAUGCCGCGUGAGUGAUGAAGGCCUUAGGGUGUAAAGCUCUUUACCGAGAUGAUAAUGACAGUAUCGGGAAGAAUAACGCCCCGGACUAACCUCCGUGCCAGCAGCCGC